rnacentral:tRNA from 1 species
UCCGAAUUGGUGUAGUGGCUAACAUUUGACGCUCUCAUGACUAAAAUCAUCAGAACCGUCAAGCCCGGGGUUCGAUUCCCCGAUUCGGAG